UCCCGGAGCGCCUUUUGCCAGGAGCCUGCACCCCAGUGAACCCCGGAGAGCGCCGCCGGCGGGUGCUCCCAGAGCCAGGCCAUGCAGCGGUGGCCACGACAGAGCUUGGAGCGGCGGUAGCGCCUCCUGUGUGGCGGUCCACGAUGCCCCAGCCACUGUGAACAGUGCCCUACCCAGCCCUGGAGACGCUUGCCUCUGCUUGCCCGUGUGACCAGCACCAAGGAAUCCAGGGACCCAGGAGCGCAGCGAAGGCCGCCCAACGCGUGCAGAGGAGGCCGACCCGCACAGCGCAGGGCACAUACUCAGGCUGACUGGAGCUGGCACUG
rnacentral:other from 15 species